rnacentral:rRNA from 1 species
AUUGAACGCUGGCGGCAUGCUUUACACAUGCAAGUCGAACGGCAGCGCGGGCUUCGGCCUGGCGGCGAGUGGCGAACGGGUGAGUAAUGCAUCGGAACGUGCCCAGUAGUGGGGGAUAGCCCGGCGAAAGCCGGAUUAAUACCGCAUACGACCUGAGGGUGAAAGCGGGGGACCGAAAGGCCUCGCGCUAUUGGAGCGGCCGAUGUCGGAUUAGCUAGUUGGUGGGGUAAAGGCUUACCAAGGCGACGAUCCGUAGCUGGUCUGAGAGGACGACCAGCCACACUGGGACGGAGACACGGCCCAGACCCCUAGGGGAGGCAGCGGUGGGGAAUUUUGGAAAAGGGGGGAAACCCUGACCCAGCCAUGCCGGGUGGGGGAAGAAGGCCUUCGGGUUGUAAACCGCUUUUGUUGGGGAAGAAAUCCUCUGGGCUAAAACCCGGGGGGGAUGGCGGUACCGGAAGAAUAAGCACCGGCUAACUACGU